AUUGAACGCUGGCGGCAGGCCUAACACGUGCAAGUCGGACGGUAGCACAGAGAGCUUGCUCUUGGGUGACGAGUGGCGGACGGGUGAGUAAUGUCUGGGGAUCUGCCCGAUAGAGGGGGAUAACCACUGGAAACGGUGGCUAAUACCGCAUAACGUCACAAGACCACAGAGGGGGACCUUCGGGCCUCUCACUAUCGGAUGAACCCAGAUGGGAUUAGCUAGUAGGCGGGGUAAUGGCCCACCUAGGCAACGAUCCCUAGCUGGUCUGAGAGGAUGACCAGCCACACUGGAACUGAGACACGGUCCAGACUCCUACGGGAGGCAGCAGUGGGGAAUAUUGCACAAUGGGCGCAAGCCUGAUGCAGCCAUGCCGCGUGUAUGAAGAAGGCCUUCGGGUUGUAAAGUACUUUCAGCGGGGAGGAAGGCGGUGAGGUUAAUAACCUCGCCGAUUGACGUUACCCGCAGAAGAAGCACCGGCUAACUCCGUGCCAGCCGCCGCAGUAA
rnacentral:rRNA from 1 species